rnacentral:rRNA from 1 species
AGUAACGGCGAGUGAAGCGGCAACAGCUCAAAUUUGAAAUCUGGCCCCUUCGGGGUCCGAGUUGUAAUUUGUAGAGAGUGUUUCGGGUGAGACCACGGUCUAAGUCUAUUGGAACAUUACGUCAUAGAGGGUGAGAACCCCGUAUGCGACCGUGGCUCGAGCCCAUGUGAAGCCUCUUCGACGAGUCGAGUUGUUUGGGAAUGCAGCUCAUAAUGGGUGGUAAAUUUCAUCUAAAGCUAAAUACUGGCUGGAGACCGAUAGCGCACAAGUAGAGUGAUCGAAAGAUGAAAAGCACUUUGGAAAGAGAGUCAAACAGUACGUGAAAUUGUUGAAAGGGAAGCGCUGGCAACCAGACCUGUCCGUGGGCGAUCAGCCGCUGUUCUCAGCGGUGCACUCGUUCCGCGAUCAGGCCAGCAUCGGUUUCGGCGGUCGGAUAAAGGCCCGGGGAACGUGGCUCCCUCCCGGGGGAGUGUUAUAGCCCCGGGCGCAAUGCGGCCAGCCGGGACCGAGGACCGCGCUUCGGCUAGGAUGCUGGCGUAAUGGUUGUCAGCGACCCGUCUUGAAACACGGACCAAGGAGUCUAACAUCUAUGCGAGUGUUUGGGUGUCAAACCCAUGCGCGGAAUGAAAGUGAACGGAGGUGAGAACCCUUUAGGGCGCAACAUCGACCGAUCCAGAUGUCUUCGGAUGGAUUUGAGUAUGAGCAUAGCUGUUGGGACCCGAAAGAUGGUGAACUAUGCCUGAAUAGGGUGAAGCCAGAGGAAACUCUGGUGGAGGCUCGCAGCGGUUCUGACGUGCAAAUCGAUCGUCAAAUUUGGGUAUAGGGGCGAAAGACUAAUCGAAACCAUCUGGUAGCCUGGGUU